UUGGAAAAAAGUUUUGCAACUCUCGAUCAAACCGUUCGUCGUGUUUGGCUUCUCAUUUCAAUUCAAACCUCGCCACUUUUCUCUCAAACUUUCUCUCUCCUCCACCUUCUCCGCCGUCUGCCAUCACCACCGUCUCCACCAUCACCCUGCUCGGCCUUCCAUCGACGUCCACUUCUCGGCAACCUAAUCCCGUUUUCCCUCAUUAUCUCCGUCGAAUUAUCAUGUUUGAUUUGUUCGCAUCCUUCUCUGUGGAUCUGACAUUUUAGAGGACUAAAGCUAUCAAGGCCAGACUUCAGCAAAUGGACCGCGCUACUUCUUCUAAUCGCCGCAUAUCUUCUGAAUAUGGUAUCCCAAUUGAUCGAAAGGAGGCAGAAAUCCUUCUUGGAUUGGGUUCUUACCAGGAAGCUUACACAUGCUGACAUUCAGGCAGCUGAUCUUGAUGAUGAUAACGUCGUAAGGUGAGUUCUGCAAUUCAAGAGCAUUGAUGAUCGAAGUCAAGUAUAUAUAGUUUAUAUUAUACUUAACCAUUAUAUAUUUGUUUGUUACAUUGCUGCAGAGUUUGUUAUAAUGAAGCUAAAAGAGAUGGAGAAGAUCACUGCCGAGGAUGUCACUAUGUUGAUGGAGUGCUUCAGGAAUGAUUCAGGAACAUUGACAGCAGCCGACAUAAUAAACACAGAAUAAUCUGCAUUCCGCACGGUGAACUCAAUUACGUUGAUGGAGAUUGACACGUUCAUAGAUUCCGAGUUCAAGCGUAACACAUCUGCUGUUUGUUUACUUGAAGAGGAAAGAGAAAAUGAGUGGCUUCAAUCAGUUGCUGCUGAAUGCAACAUCUCUGAGACAAACAAUACGUGGUAAAUAGUUUUUCGCGGAGCUCGGUGAUGAUGAUGAUUAUGGAAGAAACGAGCUGAUUUUACUGUCUCAUUUUACAUGGUAUUGCAUUGGCGUGCAAAUCAUAAAGCCAAAUGUCAACAAUUAAGUGUUUCUUCCAAGUAUUUGAUAUUCUGAUGGUAGAUGUAUUGAUGAUGGCUCUUCAAAUGAGAUUAUCAUAGGUUUGUCAAUCAUCAUACGCAAUCUCAAAAAAGAGCAUGCUUGGCUUGAUGAAGGAAGGGAUAUUAAAUGGUUAACCUGUCAUUCGAUGUGGCUGUAAUCUCCUGGUGUCCGAUGCGGUUGCUGUAAUGAUUUUGUGGCUUUAAAGUAAGGAAAAGAACCAUGGAAUUCUGUUUAGUUUAGUUUGUUGAAUUUCUUGGAACCACCUUGCUGCAUGUUAGUAUAAGAUUACAAGGCUGUCUUGAAGUCUGACACUGCUAUGUGCCUGCGUUGAAGCUCUUAUCACAUUUCAACGUCUUAAGUGCUACGCAUCAGACUAUGAUUAAUGGCUGGAGCCUGGGAGGAGAUGAAUUGCGACUUUGUAGUAGAAUGCAAAAGUAUUUAAAGUGUAUAUAAAUAUUGUUUUACUUAAUCUCUCUUUGAACAAAUAUCUGGUUGUAUGUUUGCUUUAGGGGUUCAAAUUUGCUUUUUUUAUAUUAGCACGCAUCGCGUGCAUAUAAGACUAGUAGU